UACGUAGGGGGCGAGCGUUGUCCGGAAUGACUGGGCGUAAAGGGCGUGUAGGCGGCCAUUUAAGUCUGAUGUGAAAUACCUGCUUUCAAGGUAGGUCGUGCAUUGGAAACUGAAAGGCUUGAGUGCGGAAGAGGUAAGUGGAAUUCCCAGUGUAGCGGUGAAAUGCGUAGAGAUUGGGAGGAACACCAGUGGCGAAGGCGACUUACUGGGCCGCAACUGACGCUGAGGCGCGAAAGCGUGGGGAGCAAACAGG
rnacentral:rRNA from 1 species